GACGAACGCUGGCGGCGUGCCUAAUACAUGCAAGUUGAGCGCUGAAGGUUGGUACUUGUACCAACUGGAUGUGCAGCGUACGGGUGAGUAACUCGUUGGGAAUCUGCCUUUGAGCGGGGGACAACAUUUGGAAACGAAUGCUCAUACCGCAUAAAAACUUUAAUCACAAGUUUUAAGUUUGAAAGAUGCAAUUGCAUCACUCAAAGAUGAUCCCGCGUUGUAUUAGCUAGUUGGUGAGGUAAAGGCUCACCAAGGCGAUGAUACAUAGCCGACCUGAAAGGGUGAUCGGACACAUUGGGACUGAGAAACGGCACAAACACCGACGGGAGGCAGCAGUAGGGAAUCUUAGGCAAUGGACGAAAGUCUGACAGAGCAAAGCCGCGUGAGUGAAGAAGGUGUUCGGAUCGUAAAACGAUGUUGGUAGAGAAGAACGUAGGUGAGAGUGGAAAGGACAUCAAGUGACGGAAACUAACAAGAAAGGGACGGCUAACUACGU
rnacentral:rRNA from 1 species